AAGCCUAAGAUCUGCUUGGAAGCAUUUCUCUUAUCAACAAAUAUAUUCGGGUAGAAAGGCAUCAACCCUCUCGUUGGUCGAGACAAUCUAAUGGAAAAGUAGGAGAGACAAAAUUAGGCCUUUUCAAAAAUCCUAAGAUUCUCCGAAUCUAAGGUGUACAGCUCGGCACUCGAACCUGUUGGCUACUCAAUAGCUUCGCUCCAAGAGGACUGUCAAGUAGAA
rnacentral:lncRNA from 1 species